rnacentral:snRNA from 1 species
GUGCUGACUCAGCAACACAUAUACUAAAAUUUGAACAAUACAGAGAAGAUUAGCAUGGCCCCUGAGUAACAAUGACAUGCAAAUUCAUGAAGCCCCAUAUUUUU